rnacentral:rRNA from 1 species
GGGUUGUGAGGUUAAGCGACUAAGCGUACACGGUGGAUGCCCUGGCAGUCAGAGGCGAUGAAGGACGUGCUAAUCUGCGAUAAGCGUCGGUAAGGUGAUAUGAACCGUUAUAACCGGCGAUUUCCGAAUGGGGAAACCCAGUGUGAUUCGUCACACUAUCAUUAACUGAAUCCAUAGGUUAAUGAGGCGAACCGGGGGAACUGAAACAUCUAAGUACCCCGAGGAAAAGAAAUCAACCGAGAUUCCCCCAGUAGCGGCGAGCGAACGGGGAGGAGCCCAGAGCCUGAAUCAGUGUGUGUGUUAGUGGAAGCGUCUGGAAAGGCGCGCGAUACAGGGUGACAGCCCCGUACACAAAAAUGCACAUACUGUGAGCUCGAUGAGUAGGGCGGGACACGUGGUAUCCUGUCUGAAUAUGGGGGGACCAUCCUCCAAGGCUAAAUACUCCUGACUGACCGAUAGUGAACCAGUACCGUGAGGGAAAGGCGAAAAGAACCCCGGCGAGGGGAGUGAAAAAGAACCUGAAACCGUGUACGUACAAGCAGUGGGAGCCUCUUUAUGGGGUGACUGCGUACCUUUUGUAUAAUGGGUCAGCGACUUAUAUUCUGUAGCAAGGUUAACCGAAUAGGGGAGCCGAAGGGAAACCGAGUCUUAACUGGGCGUUAAGUUGCAGGGUAUAGACCCGAAACCCGGUGAUCUAGCCAUGGGCAGGUUGAAGGUUGGGUAACACUAACUGGAGGACCGAACCGACUAAUGUUGAAAAAUUAGCGGAUGACUUGUGGCUGGGGGUGAAAGGCCAAUCAAACCGGGAGAUAGCUGGUUCUCCCCGAAAGCUAUUUAGGUAGCGCCUCGUGAAUUCAUCUCCGGGGGUAGAGCACUGUUUCGGCAAGGGGGUCAUCCCGACUUACCAACCCGAUGCAAACUGCGAAUACCGGAGAAUGUUAUCACGGGAGACACACGGCGGGUGCUAACGUCCGUCGUGAAGAGGGAAACAACCCAGACCGCCAGCUAAGGUCCCAAAGUCAUGGUUAAGUGGGAAACGAUGUGGGAAGGCCCAGACAGCCAGGAUGUUGGCUUAGAAGCAGCCAUCAUUUAAAGAAAGCGUAAUAGCUCACUGGUCGAGUCGGCCUGCGCGGAAGAUGUAACGGGGCUAAACCAUGCACCGAAGCUGCGGCAGCGACACUAUGUGUUGUUGGGUAGGGGAGCGUUCUGUAAGCCUGUGAAGGUGUACUGUGAGGUAUGCUGGAGGUAUCAGAAGUGCGAAUGCUGACAUAAGUAACGAUAAAGCGGGUGAAAAGCCCGCUCGCCGGAAGACCAAGGGUUCCUGUCCAACGUUAAUCGGGGCAGGGUGAGUCGACCCCUAAGGCGAGGCCGAAAGGCGUAGUCGAUGGGAAACAGGUUAAUAUUCCUGUACUUGGUGUUACUGCGAAGGGGGGACGGAGAAGGCUAUGUUGGCCGGGCGACGGUUGUCCCGGUUUAAGCGUGUAGGCUGAUUUUCCAGGCAAAUCCGGAAAAUCAAGGCUGAGGCGUGAUGACGAGGCACUACGGUGCUGAAGCAACAAAUGCCCUGCUUCCAGGAAAAGCCUCUAAGCAUCAGGUAACAUCAAAUCGUACCCCAAACCGACACAGGUGGUCAGGUAGAGAAUACCAAGGCGCUUGAGAGAACUCGGGUGAAGGAACUAGGCAAAAUGGUGCCGUAACUUCGGGAGAAGGCACGCUGAUAUGUAGGUGAAGCGACUUGCUCGUGGAGCUGAAAUCAGUCGAAGAUACCAGCUGGCUGCAACUGUUUAUUAAAAACACAGCACUGUGCAAACACGAAAGUGGACGUAUACGGUGUGACGCCUGCCCGGUGCCGGAAGGUUAAUUGAUGGGGUUAGCGGUAACGCGAAGCUCUUGAUCGAAGCCCCGGUAAACGGCGGCCGUAACUAUAACGGUCCUAAGGUAGCGAAAUUCCUUGUCGGGUAAGUUCCGACCUGCACGAAUGGCGUAAUGAUGGCCAGGCUGUCUCCACCCGAGACUCAGUGAAAUUGAACUCGCUGUGAAGAUGCAGUGUACCCGCGGCAAGACGGAAAGACCCCGUGAACCUUUACUAUAGCUUGACACUGAACAUUGAGCCUUGAUGUGUAGGAUAGGUGGGAGGCUUUGAAGUGUGGACGCCAGUCUGCAUGGAGCCGACCUUGAAAUACCACCCUUUAAUGUUUGAUGUUCUAACGUUGGCCCCUGAUCGGGGUUGCGGACAGUGUCUGGUGGGUAGUUUGACUGGGGCGGUCUCCUCCUAAAGAGUAACGGAGGAGCACGAAGGUUGGCUAAUCCUGGUCGGACAUCAGGAGGUUAGUGCAAUGGCAUAAGCCAGCUUGACUGCGAGCGUGACGGCGCGAGCAGGUGCGAAAGCAGGUCAUAGUGAUCCGGUGGUUCUGAAUGGAAGGGCCAUCGCUCAACGGAUAAAAGGUACUCCGGGGAUAACAGGCUGAUACCGCCCAAGAGUUCAUAUCGACGGCGGUGUUUGGCACCUCGAUGUCGGCUCAUCACAUCCUGGGGCUGAAGUAGGUCCCAAGGGUAUGGCUGUUCGCCAUUUAAAGUGGUACGCGAGCUGGGUUUAGAACGUCGUGAGACAGUUCGGUCCCUAUCUGCCGUGGGCGCUGGAGAACUGAGGGGGGCUGCUCCUAGUACGAGAGGACCGGAGUGGACGCAUCACUGGUGUUCGGGUUGUCAUGCCAAUGGCACUGCCCGGUAGCUAAAUGCGGAAGAGAUAAGUGCUGAAAGCAUCUAAGCACGAAACUUGCCCCGAGAUGAGUUCUCCCUGACUCCUUGAGAGUCCUGAAGGAACGUUGAAGACGACGACGUUGAUAGGCCGGGUGUGUAAGCGCAGCGAUGCGUUGAGCUAACCGGUACUAAUGAACCGUGAGGCUUAACCUUACAACGCCGAAG